CAGAAAAUAGUUUAAAUAAAAUAUUAAUUUUGGAGAUUAAUGAUAUGAAGAAUUUCUUUUUUCUGA
rnacentral:tRNA from 2 species